CCUACGGGAGGCAGCAGUGGGGGAUAUUGCACAAUGGGGGGAACCCUGAUGCAGCGACGCCGCGUGGGUGAAGGAGUGCUUCGGCAUGUAAAGCCCUAUCGGCAGGGAAGAAGCAAGACGGUACCUGACUAAGAAGCCCCGGCUAACUACGUGCCAGCAGCCGCGGUAAUACGUAGGGGGCGAGCGUUAUCCGGAUUCACUGGGUGUAAAGGGAGCGUAGACGGCCAUGCAAGCCAGGGGUGAAAGGCCGGGGCCCAACCCCGGGACUGCCCUGGGAACUGCAUGGCUGGAGUGCGGGAGGGGCAGGCGGAAUUCCUGGUGUAGCGGUGAAAGGCGUAUAUAUCAGGAGGAACACCGGCGGCGAAGGCGGCCUGCUGGACCGCGACUGACGUUGAGGCUCGAAAGCGUGGGGAGCGAACAGGAUUAGAUACCCUUGUAGUC
rnacentral:rRNA from 1 species